CCUACGGGAGGCAGCAGUGGGGAAUAUUGCACAAUGGGCGCAAGCCUGAUGCAGCGACGCCGCGUGCGGGAUGGAGGCCUUCGGGUUGUAAACCGCUUUUGUUCAAGGGCAAGGCACGGCCUUUGGUCGUGUUUAGUGGAUUGUUCGAAUAAGCACCGGCUAACUACGUGACAGCAGCCGCGGUAAUACGUAGGGGGUAAGCGUUUUCCGGAUGUAUUGGGCGUAAAGGGCGCGUCGGCGGUUCGUCGCGUCCGGUGGGAAACCCCAGCGCUUAACGGUGGAUCCGCGGGGGGUACUGGCGGGCUUGAGUGCGGGAGAGGUGACCGGAAUUCCCGGUGUAGCGGUGAAAUGUGUAGAUAUAAGGAAGAACACCAGUGGCGAAGGCAGGUCACUGGGCCGUUACUGACGGUGAGGAGCGAAAGCGUGGGGAGCAAACAGGAUUAGAUACCCGAGUAGUC
rnacentral:rRNA from 1 species